rnacentral:rRNA from 1 species
GUGUCAGCCGCCGCGGUAAUACGUAGGGGGCAAGCGUUGUCCGGAUUUAUUGGGCGUAAAGAGCGUGUAGGCGGCCAGGUAGGUCGGCUGUGAAAACUCGAGGCUCAACCUCGAGCUGUCGGCCGAAACCAUCUGGCUAGAGUCCGGAAGAGGAGAAUGGAAUUCCCGGUGUAGCGGUGAAAUGCGCAGAUAUCGGGAAGAACACCCGUGGCGAAGGCGGUUCUCUGGGACGGUACUGACGCUGAGACGCGAAAGCGUGGGGAGCGAACAGGAUUAGAUACCCGUGUAGUCC